rnacentral:lncRNA from 1 species
AGCGGUGCAUCGCAGGCUCGCAGCACGCGCAUGGCCGUAUGGCUGUAUCUGGAAUUCUGAAUCCCCAUGGAAUCCUGAGCAGCUACAGCAAUGGGCUGCAGGCAAAGCUAAUCACAUGGCUCGCUAGCUCUGCAUGCCUGCCGUGCAGCGGCAGCCUCCAGCUCGGCUCGAUGCUAGGCUGCCUACACUUGUCUCGCUCUCGCCUCUCGACUCUUCCUUCCUUACUUGUUUAGUCCUCGCUUCUCUUCUUCUUC